rnacentral:rRNA from 1 species
GACGUAGGGCGCGAGCGUUGUCCGGAUUUAUUGGGCGUAAAGAGCUCGUAGGCGGUUUGUCGCGUCGGCCGUGAAAACCUGUGGCUUAACUACAGGCUUGCGGCCGAUACGGGCAGGCUAGAGUUCGGUAGGGGAGACUGGAAUUCCUGGUGUAGCGGUGAAAUGCGCAGAUAUCAGGAGGAACACCGGUGGCGAAGGCGGGUCUCUGGGCCGAUACUGACGCUGAGGAGCGAGAGCGUGGGGAGCGAAC